GCAGCCGCCGCGGUAAAACGUAGGUGGCGAGCGUUGUCCGGAAUCAUUGGGCGUAAAGGGAGCGCAGGCGGGCAUGUAAGUCUUUCUUAAAAGCUCGGGGCUCAACCCCGUGAUGGGAAAGAAACUAUAUGUCUUGAGUACAGGAGAGGAAAGCGGAAUUCCCAGUGUAGCGGUGAAAUGCGUAGAUAUUGGGAGGAACACCAGUGGCGAAGGCGGCUUUCUGGACUGCAACUGACGCUGAGGCUCGAAAGCCAGGGGAGCGAACGGGAUUAGAUACCCCAGUAGUCCCUGUCUCUUAUACA
rnacentral:rRNA from 1 species